rnacentral:rRNA from 1 species
UACGUAGGGAGCAAGCGUUGUCCGGAAUCAUUGGGCGUAAAGCGCGCGUAGGUGGCUUCGUAAGUCCGUUGUGAAAGUCAAAGGCUCAACCUUUGAAAGCCGAUGGAUACUGCGGAGCUAGAGUACGGAAGAGGCGAGUGGAAUUCCUGGUGUAGCGGUGGAAUGCGCAGAUAUCAGGAGGAACACCGGUGGCGAAGGCGGAAUCUCCUGGGCCAAUUACUGACGCUGAGGAGCGAAAGCUAGGGGAGCAAACGGGACUAGAA